UACGGGGGGGGCAAGCGUUGUUCGGAAUUACUGGGCGUAAAGGGUGCGUAGGCGGUCCGCUAAGUUGGAUGUGAAAACUCUGGGCUUAACCCAGAGCCUGCAUUCAAAACUGACGGGCUAGAGUUCUGGAGGGGGUAGCGGAAUUCCUGGUGUAGCGGUGAAAUGCGUAGAUAUCGUGAGGAACACCAGAGGCGAAGGCGGCUACCUGGACAAUUGCUGACGCUCAGGCACGAAAGCGUGGGGAGCAAAAGGG
rnacentral:rRNA from 1 species